rnacentral:tRNA from 1 species
CAUCAGAUAGCUCAGUGGUCUAGAGCAGUCGCUCGGCAAGCAAAAGACUCAGGUUCGAUUCCCGGUCUAGCGA